rnacentral:rRNA from 1 species
GACGAACGCUGGCGGCGUGCCUAAUACAUGCAAGUCGAGCGAGGUUUGUCUGGUGCUUGCUCUAGACAAACUGCGCGGCUUACGGGUGAGUAACAGGGAAAGAACCUUCCGCAUACACUGGGAUAACGGUUGGUAACAGUAGGUAAUGCCUGAUAACACUGUAUCUCACAUGAGCGACGUUUAAUAGUUGGGUAUGCUAACACUAUGAGAUAGCUUUACGGUGCAUUGGCUAGUUGGUGGGGUGAAGACCGACCAAGGCGACGAUGCAUAGCCGACCUGAAAGCGUGAUCGGACAGCCUGGGAGUGAGACAGGGCCCACACUCCUACGGGAGGACGCAGCAGGGACUCUUCCGCAAUGGGGGAAAGCCUGACGGAGCAACGCCGCGUGAGUGAAGAAGGAUUUCGGUUCGUAAAGCUAUGUUGUUAGGGAAGAAUGGAUAUGUAGUAAGCAGACAUGUAAGAGACGGUACCUAACCAGAAAGCCACGGCUAACUACGUG